AGAGUUUGAUCAUGGCUCAGGAUGAACGCUGGCGGCGUGCCUAACACAUGCAAGUCGAACGAAGCGUCGCGGAACGAUUUUUCGGAAGAGGGAAGGGACGGCUUAGUGGCGGACGGGUGAGUAACGCGUGGGCAACCUGCCCUGCACAGGGGGACAACAGCUGGAAACGGCUGCUAAUACCGCAUAAGCGCACGGUACCGCGUGGUACAGUGUGAAAAACUCCGGUGGUGCAGGAUGGGCCCGCGUUGGAUUAGGUAGUUGGCGGGGCAACGGCCCACCAAGCCGACGAUCCAUAGCCGACCUGAGAGGGUGACCGGCCACAUUGGGACUGAGACACGGCCCAAACUCCUGCGGGAGGCAGCAGUGGGGAAUAUUGCACAAUGGGCGCAAGCCUGAUGCAGCGACGCCGCGUGAGCGAAGAAGUAUUUCGGUAUGUAAAGCUCUAUCAGCAGGGAAGAAAAUGACGGUACCUGACUAAGAAGCUCCGGCUAAAUACGUGCCAGCAGCCGCGGUAAUACGUAUGGAGCAAGCGUUAUCCGGAUUUACUGGGUGUAAAGGGAGCGUAGACGGGACGGCAAGUCUGAUGUGAAAGGCCGGGGCUCAACCCCGGGACUGCAUUGGAAACUGCGGUUCUUGAGUGCCGGAGAGGUAAGCGGAAUUCCUAGUGUAGCGGUGAAAUGCGUAGAUAUUAGGAGGAACACCAGUGGCGAAGGCGGCUUACUGGACGGUAACUGACGUUGAGGCUCGAAAGCGUGGGGAGCAAACAGGAUUAGAUACCCUGGUAGUCCACGCCGUAAACG
rnacentral:rRNA from 1 species